rnacentral:tRNA from 15 species
CGGAGUGUAGCUCAGUUGGUAGAGCACAUGGCUGGGGGUCAUGAGGUCGCUGGUUCGAGCCCAGUCACUCCGACC